AACGAACGCUGGCGGCAGGCCUAACACAUGCAAGUCGAACGCGCCCUCCGGGGUGAGCGGCGGUCGGGUGAGUGACGAGGGGGAACUUGCACUUUUCUACGGAGUCGCCGAGGGAAACUGAAAGUAAUGACGUAUACGCCCUUUGGGGGUAAGAUUUCUCGGAAAAGGGUCGGCGCGGGUUGGAUUAGGUAGUUGGUGGUGUAAUGGCAUACCAUGCCGACGAUCCAUAGCUGGUUUGAGAGGAGGCUAAGCAACACUGGGACUGAGACACGGCCUAGACUGGGACGGAAGGGAGGAGUGGGGAAUCUUAGACAAGGGGGGCAAACCUGAUCUAGCCAUGCCGGGUGAGUGAGGAAGGCCGUAGGGUUGUAAAGCUCUUUCAGCUGGGAAGAGAAUGACGGUACCAGCAGAAGAAGCCCCGGCUAACUACGUG
rnacentral:rRNA from 1 species